UAUUUUCUAUUUUUACAUGUAAAGGAAAAAAAAUAUGGCUAAAGUUUUCAAAUGUUUAUUUAUGUGUUCACAUUUAUCAUUGUAGUGUCAUCCUCCCCGUUGGCUGCAUGGGCGGGUUGUCCCUCGCUGCUACGAGUCGGCCGUAAGUCCAUGCUCGCACGUAUUACUAUAUGCACUGGAGAAAGAGAUUGUCGUAGUUAUCAUUGUAUCCCUCAUGAAUUUCCAAGAUGCAUAAGGGGGAUGUGUCGAUGUAAGUAUUCGGGAAAUUAAGUUCAAAAACCAUUCCAUGGUACGGGUAUACAUGUAUUUUUUUAAUUAUAAUGUUGUAUUUUUAUGAUCUCGUUGACACCUCAAUCUUCGUUUGUUACAUCUUAAAAGAAUUAUGCAAGUGUGGUUAUAAAGGCAAAGAUUAUAAUAAUAGUAGGUGGAUAUUUCUGUUCAAAUAAAAAGAUGCACACUUGCUAAUUUAGACAUUCAA